rnacentral:rRNA from 1 species
ACAGAGGUGGCAAACGUUGUUCGGAUUCACUGGGUGUAAAGGACAGGUAGGCGUCCUAUUAAGUCGGUUGUGAAAUCCCAUGGCUCACCCAUGGAACUGCGACCGAUACUGGUAGGAUUGAGUACGUGAGAGGUAAGCGGAAUUCCACAAGUAACGGUGGAAAGUGUAGAUAUGUUGAAGAACACCAUGAGCGGAGGCGACUUACUGGUACGAAACUGACGCUGAACUGUGAAAGCUAGGGUAGCAAACAG